rnacentral:rRNA from 1 species
UACAUGGGGUGCAAACGUUGCUCGGAAUUAUUGGGCGUAAAGCGCACGUAGGCGGUUUGUUAAGUCGGAUGUGAAAUCCCUCGGCUCAACUGAGGAAGUGCAUCCGAAACUGGCAGGCUUGAGUACUAAAGAGGGUCGCGGAAUUCCCGGUGUAGAGGUGAAAUUCGUAGAUAUCGGGAGGAACACCGGUGGCGAAGGCGGCGACCUGGGUAGAUACUGACGCUGAGGAGCGAAAGCGUGGGGAGCGAACGAGGA